CUCAAUAAACAGCAGAUGGCAGGAGGGAUCACUAUCUGAAGGCCAACCUGUUGCAGAGCAUCUAUAUGGGACUCAUCGUGACAUCCACAGAAAGGGGAAACAGUAGUAGGGUACCUUGGGAGACAUCAGUGAAAUUGCCCUGGGAGAAAAUAACAGCAGCAAUAUCUAUCCCCAGCCAGAGAAAUUAAGAGCAGACGCUGGCAUCCAUUACAGCUCCUGACGGAUAGCAGGCAGCAUGCUGAGGAUUCAUAGGGGAACACUGUCAAACACCCUGCCGCAUAUAUAGAAGAACUUCCAGAAGACUUACACAUAAGAUACUCCAACAUAUGCAUAAAUUCAGCACACAGCUCUGCAGAGCCCUAUGAUCCUACAAUAUUGAUUAAAGGAGAGGAAGCUGGGUCGGUGGAUAGAUUAACAAGAGUGCAGCCAGAAACUGCAGGAGAAGCUGCAAGAAAAAAUUUUUGGAAGACUAAUUUAACCACCUUGCUGACACGUGUUUCAUUUGGUCAGCUAUCAACUGGCAUGGUGAGCAUAAUUGUCUGGCUUAAACUGCUACAAGCUUUACCAAGGGGAGCAAAAUAUUUAUAUACGCAUUUUACUGCACAUACCUUGCAUGCACAAUAUUUAAUUCACUUGGCUUGAUGCAUAGUUACUGCAUUUUAAAUAUUUCUGUGACUGUUAAUAGAUAUGUGAGUGAACCUGUUUCAGGGUUAAUCCAAAUGAUUGUUGUCCCUUUAUAUCUUCUUGGAAGGGAAUAUCAGCAGAUCCUAUAACUACUAACUACUGAGACAAUGAUGCCCUUAUACUCCUUGUUAUUCAUAGUCAGGCCAAUAAACAGCAAAUAAGCUGCUGUAAUACUCAAACUGCCCUGUUAAUGUCAACAGAAAAGCUGGGCAUGUGGAUUUACAUGAGCAUGUAUGUCUUUUUUGCCCCACUAACAAUAC